rnacentral:ncRNA from 1 species
GUAAACACGAGGAAAAAGAGAGUACAUCCCUUAGAACUUUACAGAGAAGUUUUUGAAUGAGAUGCAUCCGCAUACAUUCGCUGAGAGAAAACGGGCAAAGAGAGAUGGAAGAUGGCUUUGGAGUGGCAGAGCUGAACGAAAAGCACUACAUUUACAAACGUAGUUGAAUUUCGAUAAGUUUUGACAGGACCGCCUGUUAUAGCGGUAGAACGUAACAACAAAUGUUGCGUCAAUGAGGCUUUCUCUGCAAAGAGAAGGUAAAGAGAAGUGGUACCACGGGUAGCAGCUCGUCUUCUGG